rnacentral:rRNA from 1 species
GGCUCAGAUUGAACGCUGGCGGCAUGCCUUACACAUGCAAGUCGAACGGCAGCGGACCUUCGGGUGCCGGCGAGUGGCGAACGGGUGAGUAAUAUAUCGGAACGUACCUUUCAGUGGGGGAUAACGUAGCGAAAGUUACGCUAAUACCGCAUAUUCUGUGAGCAGGAAAGCAGGGGGAUCGCAAGACCUUGCGCUGAUUGAGCGGCCGAUAUCAGAUUAGCUAGUUGGUGAGGUAAAGGCUCACCAAGGCGACGAUCUGUAGCGGGGUCUGAGAGGAUGAUCCGCCACACUGGAACUGAGACACGGUCCAGACUCCUACGGGAGGCAGCAGUGGGGAAUUUUGGACAAUGGGCGCAAGCCUGAUCCAGCCAUGCCGCGUGAGUGAAGAAGGCCUUCGGGUUGUAAAGCUCUUUCGGCCGGGAAGAAAUCGCACAGGUUAAUACCCUGUGUGGAUGACGGUACCGGAAUAAGAAGCACCGGCUAACUACGUG